UACGAAGGUGGCAAGCGUUACUCGGAAUUACUAGGCGUAAAGGGCAGGUAGGCGGUCUCGUUAGUCUGUUGUGAAAGCUCCUUGCUUAACAGGGAGAGGCCAACAGAUACUGCGAGGCUUGAGUAUAGGAGAGGGUACUGGAAUUCCCGGUGUAGCGGUGAAAUGCGUAGAGAUCCGGAGGAACACCAGUGGCGAAGGCGACACGCUGGGCCGUACCUGACACUGAUGCGCGACAGCAUGGGGAGCAAACAGG
rnacentral:rRNA from 1 species